rnacentral:rRNA from 1 species
AUUGAACGCUGGCGGCAGGCCUAACACAUGCAAGUCGAACGCGUGGCGGACGGGUGAGUAAUGUCUGGGAAACUGCCUGAUGGAGGGGGAUAACUACUGGAAACGGUAGCUAAUACCGCAUACCAUCGGAUGUGCCCAGAUGGGAUUAGCUAGUAGGUGGGGUAACGGCGCACCAAGGCGACGAUCCCUAGCUGGUCUGAGAGGAUGAUCAGCCACACUGGAACUGAGACACGGUCCAGACUCCUACGGGAGGCAGCAGUGGGGAAUAUUGGACAAUGGGCGAAAGCCUGAUGCAGCCAUGCCGCGUGUAUGAAGAAGGCAUUCGGAUUGUAAAGUACUUUCAGCGGGGAGGCGGUACCCGCAGAAGAAGCAACGGCUAACUCCGUGCCAGCAGCCGCGGUAAUAC